UACGUAGGGUCCGAGCGUUGUCCGGAAUUAUUGGGCGUAAAGAGCUCGUAGGCGGUUUGUCGCGCCUGCUGUGAAAUCCCGAGGCUCAACCUCGGGCCUGCAGUGGGUACGGGCAGACUGGAGUGCGGUAGGGGAGAAUGGAAUUCCUGGUGUAGCGGUGGAAUGCGCAGAUAUCAGGAGGAACACCGGUGGCGAAGGCGGGUCUCUGGGCCGAAACUGACGCUGAGGAGCGAAAGCGUGGGGAGCAAACAGG
rnacentral:rRNA from 1 species